UACGUAGGGGGCAAGCGUUGUCCGGAUUUAUUGGGCGUAAAGAGCGUGUAGGCGGCCAUGUAGGUCCGUUGUGAAAACUCGAGGCUCAACCUCGAGACGCCGAUGGAAACCAUGUGGCUAGAGUCCGGAAGAGGCGAGUGGAAUUCCUGGUGUAGCGGUGGAAUGCGCAGAUAUCAGGAGGAACACCAAUAGCGAAGGCAGCUCGCUGGGACGGUACUGACGCUAAGGCGCGAAAGCGUGGGGAGCGAACAGG
rnacentral:rRNA from 1 species